AGGAAAAAGAUGAUAGAGGUUAUAUGGCUGGCUUGAAACUAGUUUAUGUAGGUUCGAAUCCUACUCUUUUUG
rnacentral:tRNA from 1 species